GUAUGGCAGUAUGCCAACUCAAGGUGUUAUCAGAGAAUGUGCCUAAAACUCUAUUUGCAAUUCCUGUGUAACUAUGGAUACGACCUUUCUACAAUCAAACUCAUUACUACUGUGCACAGUCGAUUUCAAUGUUCUGAUAACUCUACUAAGGAAAUGAUUUUUGAGCUCAACUACCCAACUAUUGCUAUUUCCCACCCAACCAUGAAAGGUAGUAAGUCUGUUAAUAGAAUGGUCACAAACGUUGGAGCUGAUGAUGAAACAACUUACACAGUAAGCGUAAUUUCUCCUGAUGGACUAGAUGUUGCAGUGAUCAGGACUUUUCUGCAGUCAUGGAAGCAUUGAAACCAAGGUUGCAAACCCCAAACUAAGAGACCACUCUCAUUCCACAUGUUCACUUGUUGGGUCUGUCAUGGUAGUUCCUGGCCGUGUUUGUAUUUAACUCGGUUUUCAUAUCCCUUGGUCAGGGAUUAACCAAGGACAGAUUGAAGUGGAAUUUUUUUGUGUCAAAACUCAAAACUACAGAGUAGUUAAAUGAAUCAAUAUUUCCACAUUCUGUAUUCCAAGUUUGUAUUCAACAAGUAUUACGAAAAUGGCUGGUAGCUUGUGACAGUCUACUCUACUAUUCAAAAUGGCUAGUAGCCUGGACAGUCUACUCUAUCAAGGUUUUACAUUCGGACAGUAUGUUGUAUUGAUAAACUUUAACAACCAACUAAAUUCAUAGAAAUGAUUGGAAGGCAGUCUUUAAGCUUAUGCUUCACCAUUACUGGACUAUGUGUCAUGUUAAAAAUCUAUCAUUAUUGUCUAAUUCAAUUAUGUGCCAUAAGACCACAUUUCAUUAUUACGCCUAAAAUACUAAAAUUCACAAAAGCUGGGAGCAAACUGAGCUACCAAGUUGUUUUCUCAACUACAACAUCCUCUCCAAGAAAUAGAACACUAAAUAAAGCUUUCGGAAUCAAAUAUAAACCUAAAGAUAUAUACCACCAAAACUUUAAACAUAGAGUAAAGCAAAUCCUACAAAAGAGAAAAAUAAUCAAGAGAAUCCAAGUGAAUAAGGUAAACAAUCCUACAGUUCUGCAGCUCAGAAAGAUAAAGUUUUCUUUAGUGUUUGGGGCUCCAUGAAUAAAAUAAGAGAGCUUGGUUCUUUAGAGUUUAGAUAACAUGAGUGUGGGCACUAUGAAGACACAGAUACACGCACCUUAGUAUACCUCUUUGGUAGGUUAGACUUGGGUUACUGAUUUCUUCCUUCAUUUAUGCUUUAAAAUGGGAUUAAUGAUUACUAAACACAAUUUUAUACCAUUAACAUCUUGUCUUCUUAUUUUAUUUACCUAAUCUGGUCAUCUAGUUGUAUACUUUAUACAGGUAUAUGUAGAAAUAUUGAGACCAGACCAUCUUGCUAGGGAGUGCAGUUUGAAAUCUGAAACCUAACCGAAUAAAUUUUAGUUUCAAUCGAAUUUCGAUUACACAUAAAUUUUCACUAUAAAUGCAGUACAUCCAAAUGUAAUUGAAUAGGACUUUUGAGUUGGAUGUUGAGUGAAUCCAACUCAAACUCAGAUCAGAUUCUGAUCAAAACCCUUAUCCAUAAUCAAGCUCAGAUAGAUCAUAGAUGUGAAUACAAAGAGAUCAUCUGAUACGUUGUUGUAAAAUUGGAAUAUUAAAGUGGUGAUCUCUAAGAACAACUAGGUCAAACCUCUUAAAUUGGAAUUAUCUCAACCCUUUUUAUGUGAAUGUGUCACCAAACAAGGGGACGAGCAACAACCCGACCACAAUCUAGGACAUUUUUAUAACCAAAUUUUCUUCAAAAAAACCAUACACUUGCAAUGUAAAGAUCUCCAAAACCCAUAUAUGUAUUGCUAUCUAUACCAAAUGAUUAACAACUUCGAUCAUAUAAAAAAUACAUACCUUCUGGCUUCUCCUUUCGACUUUUUUUUUCCUUCGCCAGCUUAACCUAAAACCCCAUUAACAAACAAAGAGAGAUUCAUUAGAGAAGAUUUGAUAUACAAAACUUGAAACGUUCAAAUUCAAGUUUAAAAUUAAUAACUCUUUUUACUUUUUAAACCUUCAAAUCAAUCUCAUUACCAGAUCUAUCAAUAACCCACUUUCAAAAAUCCAAUCUUUAUUCAAACCCACAUUCAAAAUGCACUCAAAUCAAUCUCAUUACAGUAAGUGUAGAAAUAGAGAGAAGAAGGAAUGAUAAAUCUAAAGCUAAUAAUGAAGGUUCAUUUAAGAAAAAAACAGUUUCAUUCUAAAUGACAAAUACAGAGAAAGAGAGUGAUUUAGGAGGAAGAAGAUAAGAAAAAUCUAAACAUAUUUUUCAUUGUAUUCCAUGAAUCUAAAAAUGGAGAGUUGGAGAACAAAAUCGAUUUAAAUUCAAAUUUGUUUAAAUUAAAAAAAAAACGAAUUUAAAAUAAUCCCACAAUCAAGUCGAUUUGAAUCUAUUCAUUACCUUGAUGAAAUCCCUGCUUGUAAAUGAUGGAGGAGAGAGAUGGUGCUUGUGAAUGAUGGAGGAAAGAGAAGAGAAAAGGGAGAAGAGAAAAGAAAAGAGGGAGAAGAGAAGAGAACGCAGAGAAGAGUCGGGGAAUUUUUUUUAGGGGUGGGCUAGGGAAUGUUUCGCGAGAAACAUUUUCACAAAGGAAUUUUUACGGGCCCAACUUAUCCAAUCAAACGGACAUUAGGAAAAUUUGAUGGUAAUGUUUGACGUGGGAAUUUUUCCCACGACCAAUCAAACACACCC
rnacentral:lncRNA from 1 species